ACAAAUUAUGAUUUGUGAACGUGGGCAUAAUCAAAUGAGUAGCAACCAAGAAGUUGCUAAAUAUCCUAGAAAUUAAUUAGUGUAUCCAUAUUCCUACAUUCUGGUUGGUUGCAUGUAAAAAUCUAUUUUACAUGGACAUUAUACAUCAACAAACUGCUGAAUAUUAGCCAACUAAUACAAGAAAAUAGGACUCAGUUGGACUCCGUUGUAACAUGCAGUAAUAAAACGAAAGUAAAGCUACUGACCAAGUAAAACUAUAAAAAAUCAGCUAACAAAUUCCUAAUCACUCAGAUUGAAAACUAUAUUGAACUGACACCUAAUGCUUAAGAGAAAACUCCAAAGACCCAUUGGGAAAAUAUUCCAGGCCACAAUGAAUCAAGUAGCCAAAUUUGAGUAUGAAUCACAAGGGCUAUUGAAAGUGGUUUUUCUUCUGCUAAGGGGCCCAUAUAUACUUUUGAUCCUUUGGAUCUGGUCCGCAAUUGCAUCAAAGACCUGCAACCCUAUUUAGAUUCAUGGUGCAGAUUAGCUCGAUUAGGUGAGUAAUUGCACCGAACUGGCGAACCACGUAUACAUUCUUGCGUAGAUCUUCUUGGUUUCUGUUUAUGUUCUUGUGUGAAUGAUUCUCUGAUCUUGGAAGCCUUAUGUGGGCUUGAAUUAUAACAACCACCUUGUCAUAAGGUUUUUUCCUUUUUAAUCUUUCAAUUUACAAUCCAUUCUUAAGGUUU